CACGUAGGGGGCAAGCGUUGUCCGGAAUCAUUGGGCGUAAAGAGCUCGUAGGCGGCUCAGUAAGUCGGGUGUGAAACCUCCAGGCUCAACCUGGAGACGCCACCCGAUACUGCUGUGGCUAGAGUCCAGUAGGGGAGUGUGGAAUUCCCGGUGUGGCGGUGAAAUGCGCAGAUAUCGGGAGGAACACCAGCGGCGAAGGCGGCACUCUGGGCUGGUACUGACGCUGAGGAGCGAAAGCGUGGGUAGCAAACAGG
rnacentral:rRNA from 1 species